rnacentral:rRNA from 1 species
AUCUACAGCCAUGCCACCUUGAACAAGCCCGAUCCUGUCUGAUUUCGCAAGCUAAGCAGGGUCAGGCCUGGUUAGUACUUGGAUGGGAGACCACCCAGGAAGACGAGAUGCUGUAGGCG